AGGGGAAACCAAGGAAGAGAACAGAAAGGUAGGGCACAGGGAGCUGAGCCCAGCUGCACUCAUCCCCGCCCCCGGAAACCCCCGCAGCUCCCGCCCCAACCAGCCCCUCUGGCGCCUGGCAUAAGGUAGCCCCCGGAGGCAAUGAGGGCCAGCAGGAGUCUCGCGCGCCUGCGACGCGGGUAAGCACCAGCCACAAAAACCUACAAAAGAAGGGAAAUUACUGUCUUUAAAUAUUAAAAAAAAACAAGAUCCAUGAGUGGGCAUCGAUCAACAAGGAAAAGAUGUGGAGAUUCUCACCCGGAGUCCCCAGUGGGCUUCGGGCAUAUGAGUACUACAGGAUGUGUAUUAAAUAAAUUGUUUCAGUUACCAACACCACCAUUGUCAAGACACCAACUAAAGCGGCUAGAAGAACACAGAUAUCAAAGUGCUGGACGGUCCCUGCUUGAGCCCUUAAUGCAAGGGUAUUGGGAAUGGCUCGUUAGAAGAGUUCCCUCCUGGAUUGCCCCAAAUCUCAUCACCAUCAUUGGACUGUCAAUAAACAUCUGUACAACUAUUUUAUUAGUCUUCUACUGCCCUACAGCUACAGAGCAGGCACCUCUGUGGGCAUAUAUUGCUUGUGCCUGUGGCCUUUUCAUUUACCAGUCUUUGGAUGCUAUUGAUGGGAAACAGGCAAGAAGAACCAAUAGUAGUUCUCCUCUGGGAGAACUUUUUGAUCAUGGUUGUGAUUCACUAUCAACAGUUUUUGUGGUUCUUGGAACUUGUAUUGCAGUGCAGCUGGGGA
rnacentral:sRNA from 1 species